rnacentral:snRNA from 1 species
AUAAUUACCUGGCAGGGCUGAUAAGGGCGAUCACAGAGGUAGUUUUCCCACGGCAAGUUUUAAUGAUUACUUUCCAGGCUUGUGAUUUCCCAAAAUGUGGGAAAUUCAACUGCAUAAUUCAUGGUAUUAAAGAGCUACAUUUGUGUUUUCC